AGUGGGGAAUCUUGCGCAAUGGGCGAAAGCCUGACGCAGCGACGCCGCGUGGGGGAUGAAGGCUCUCGGGUUGUAAACCCCUUUCAGCAGGGACGAAUCAAGACGGUACCUGCAGAAGAAGCCCCGGCUAACUACGUGCCAGCAGCCGCGGUAACACGUAGGGGGCAAGCGUUGUCCGGAUUUAUUGGGCGUAAAGAGCUCGUAGGUGGCUGAGUAAGUCGGAUGUUAAAUCCCCAGGCUCAACCUGGGACACCACCCGAUACUGCUCUGGCUAGAGUCCGGUAGGGGAGCGUGGAAUUCCUGGUGUAGCGGUGAAAUGCGCAGAUAUCAGGAGGAACACCAGCGGCGAAGGCGGCGCUCUGGGCCGGUACUGACACUGAGGAGCGAAAGCGUGGGUAGCAAACAGGAUUAGAUACCCUGGUAGUCCACGCCGUAAACGUUGGGCACUAGGUGUGGGGUCUAUUCAACGGACUCCGUGCCGUAGCUAACGCAUUAAGUGCCCCGCCUGGGGAGUACGGCCGCAAGGCUAAAACUCAAAGGAAUUGACGGGGGCCCGCACAAGCAGCGGAGCAUGUUGCUUAAUUCGAGGCAACGCGAAGAACCUUACCUGGGUUUGACAUGUAGAGAAAAGCCAUAGAGAUAUGGUGUCCUUCGGGGUUCUACACAGGUGAUGCAUGGUUGUCGUCAGCUCGUGUCGUGAGAUGUUGGGUUAAGUCCCGCAACGAGCGCAACCCUUGUCCUAUGUUGCCAGCACGUUAUGGUGGGGACUCGUAGGAGACUGCCGGGGUCAACUCGGAGGAAGGUGGGGACGACGUCAAAUCAUCAUGCCCCUAUAUCCAGGGCUGCAAACAUGCUACAAUGGCCGGUACAAAGGGCUGCGAAACCGCGAGGUGGAGCGAAUCCCAGAAAGCCGGUCUCAGUUCGGAUUGGAGUCUGCAACUCGACUCCAUGAAGCUGGAGUUGCUAGUAAUCCCGGAUCAGCAACGCCGGGGUGAAUACGUUCCCGGGCCUUGUACACACCGCCCGUCACACCAUGAAAGUUGGAAACGCCCGAAGCCAGUGGCCGAACCCGCAAGGGACGGAGCUGUCGAAGGUGGAAUCAGCGAUUAGGGUGAAGUCGUAACAAGGUAGCCGUACCGGAAGGUGCGGCUG
rnacentral:rRNA from 1 species